UGUAGAGAUUUUAUUGUCCUGCUUCACAGUGAGUCCGAGCAUUCAUCCAAACCAGCGAAAGAGCUACCAGCUAAAGGGCUAUGCCAGGAAUCCAUGAUGCAGAAUCUGUGGUGCCCAAAUGUCACACAAGAUCAGGCUACCUGGAGCACCAGUGUGGGUAUGAUGAGGUUGUAGCCUUGGCAUGUCUGCCACAGAUUUGCAUGUCAUGGAUAAGCUACCACUGGUUUAAUCAGGCUUCAACAUGCAGCAAUCAGGACCCAGAUUCACUGCCACCAUCUUAAUGAGCCACAGCAAUCUCACUAGAGGCUGCUGUGCACCUAAUGGGGUACCACACCUGGUAAAGUAUGUAUACAUAUACAAUGAAGAUCUUCCAGGUGUUACCUUUCUUAGAAAAGAGUAGUUAGUUUGCUUCAUUUUCUGCAUUUUUCGGCAGUGUCAGCUCAUUACAGUUCAACCAGGACAGUUUAAAAGAAGCCAUGAUGCAACCAAGAAGAAAUAACCUCUUCCAGUUUUGUCUGAUCUAACAAUAUUUUCCACAACAGUGUUUUCUCAAGGCUUCCUGGUUAGCUUAUGUUUUUAAAGGGGCAGUAUCAUGUGUUUUCCAGACACAUAGUGCCAUUUUAUACCACAAUCAAGUAACUAUGUCACCUUCAGUUGUUAUAGAAUGCUUUACAUAUCAAAUAUGACUUUAAAAAAUUGCCUUUGCAAUUUAAAACCAUGAAAGACCUGCUUCUGUCUCUUUAAGUUCUUGCUCUUUAUGACAUUGCCUUCAGCACAUCAUUGCAACAGAUUUCUCCAUCAAUCUGUUUCAAACCGUUCUUACAAGUGUUGCACACAGAAGAAGUAGUUCCUAUGAUGAGUUCAGCAGAUGCACAGUUCAACCAGGUGCUUGCUAAUUGCUGCUUCUGCUAGUCUGAAGGAGCUGAGUGGAGAGUUGCAGAUUUGUUUUGUGAGGUGGAAGUUCUUGGUGAGAGCAAAUGUUUGGCACAUCGCAAACAUGAAUGAAUCAAACACUUCAGGUAAGUUUUGUUUUUGAUACAGCAGGGAGUUUUUGGAGACUCAGCAUGAAAACAACUUACUAAUAAUGGGUAUAACAGUUGCCUCACGUAAUCUAGGGCACAAUUGUAAAAAUGAACAGGGCAUGAAAGUUUGCAUAAAUAUGAAAAUAUGAAAUAUGUAUGUGAAUUUUCCACCCUUUACUGUGACACCACUUAACAAAAUCCAGUGCCCUCAACUCCUUGUGAAAUUUACCUAAUUAGUAAAUAUAGCUAUAAAGGUGAUGUAUCAAAAAAUAUAAAAUAAAACUAUAAAUCAAACACUUUCAGGUCAUUUUUAAUUAGUAGUUUUAAUAGCAUACCACAUUUUUAUCUCUCAACAUUAUUCCUUCACCCUUCCAGUUCCUCCACAUUUACAUUCAAAAUGGAGAGAUUUGCUCUUUUUAUCUGAAGAUGUCAUUGAAUUACUUUUUUGUCAGCAUUUGGAUGCUUUACUAAAUGAGGUGUUAGCAGCACAGCGGAUUUGCUUUUCAAGUCACAGAGAAUAGAUGCCUUUGUAACCCAGGGUAGAAACUGCCCUUAAUCCCGCCUUUGGUGCUCCAUUGGUUAGAGUGACAGUCAGUCACACAGUGCAUUCAGCCAAUCACUGCAUCUUGAGUGGUUAAUCAGGCCUGCUCCAGUUUUCCCAGUCAGGUGUGAGAGGGAGAGCUGGAGACAAAAGAGCCACAGGUUUGUUCUUCCAAACAAUUAGUUUAUCUCUUUGUUUAUUAUGCACUUUUAAAACUCACAAUAUAAAAAUCAUGUAGAUCUGAACAUCCAGUGAGCUUGGAGCCAUGAAGUUGUCAUGCACUGAACUAUUUAUGGAAUUGGCCAGGUGAUCCCUUUUUAGGGUUAAAGGAUGGCGAGCUUCUGACAACUGGCUGGAGCCAGGAGAACCUGAAAUUCACUCCAUACUGGUCUGGUAGGAGUCUGAUGGUCCAUAACAUUUCCCCCUCCAUCUCACUACAUAGACACACAAUCCAUUAUUCAUCCCUUCUCUGGUGGAAACAAAUUGCGCUUGGACAUUUUCAUCUCAAAUAACUGGACAAUUAAACCAUGGACUUUUAAAUGUGUGUCAGUCACACAAUAUGCUGACCAGCCGGGGAAAGUUAGGACUCUUUGUGCACAUCUAUAUAGAAGAUCUACUGCAGUACUGUGUGUGUGUGUAUAUAUAUAUAUAUAUAUAAAUAAUAUUUAUUUAUUAUUUUUGGUUUCCAUGUAUGUUUGUGUCUUGUGGUGUUCACUUAAUUUUUCUUCUUUAAAAUACAUAAUAUCGAAAGCAGUUAUUCUUUUGUAUUGUUUUAUUGAUUACUGACAGCAGCUCCAGUAGAUGAACCUAGUCUUCUGGUGUUAUAUGCCAUCUAGUCCCUUAACUACAUUAAGUAGUGCUACACUUUCUGUUGUACUAGAAGCUGAAAGUUAUUCUUUGAGAAAAGUAAAGCAAAAACAAAAUGUAACCUGUGGCAUAUUUAAACAGUGAUCAAACAGUAUCUAGAAUCGCAGUGAAGAAAGAGAUCAAAAUUGUA